ACCAGCUUCAGAAACAAAACAUUAGCAAACAGUUGCCACCUCCUCUAUGUAUACAUAUUGACAGUAACAUCCUUCUGUCUUCACUGACCCUUGACUAACUGCUAAUCAUCUUACAAGACUCAGCCUUUCUCAGUUCCCCAGUCUGAAUUAAAUGCUCUCAUAUUCCCAAGGGACUGUAAAUAUACUUCUAAUCACUUUAUUUUAUAAUUGAUAAGUCUAUUGUCCUUCACUCCCAUUAGCUAUAAAGACUAAAAAGCUCCCCAAUAAUAGGGAGCAUACCUUAAUUAUUUACACACUCCUAACACCCAACUAAGUGAAUGGGACGAAAUAGUCAUUAAAUUUUACUUGUUUUAAACAAAUUUAUAUUGAAUUAAUGAAAGGUGAAUCUUGCCAGUCAAGGAAGAGAAAAGGUAUUAUUCUGAAACAAUAAUGGAGCCACAUAACUUCUGCAGAAUACUCUGCUUAGGCAAGUAAUAGAAACAUUUUUGAAUGACUUUUAGUCAACAAAAGGUAUUGUCUUUGACUCUCAUGACAAUGCUUAUGUUCCCUCUGGAAAGAAUUCCUACUAAAGACCUGACUUCCCAAGGAAGAAUGAAGUGCUCUGAUGGCAUGUCAGCAAAAUAUCAAGUAAUAAAAUAACUAUAAGAAUAAGGGAAUGUGACUUCAAUGGGGUAGGGGGGGUACUUGAUAAUAUGGGUGAAUGUAGUAACCACAUUGUUUUUCAUGUGAAACCUUCAUUAAGAGUGUCUAUCAAUGAUACCUUAAUAAAAAUUUAAAAAAUAAAUUAAAAAUUGAAAAAAUAAAAAGAGAAUUUUCAUAAAUACUAAAAAUUUAAUCCUUAAAAUGCCCCCAAAUUAAGUCUUAAUCAGUGUUUCCUUCUGGUAUUCUUUCCAAGAUAUACAGUGAGUUUUUCUUUGUGUCCUAAACAGGUUUUACUGAGUAUGUAAUUUAACCAAUGACUCAUAGUAACAGUGAAUAUCAGUUGUAUUUUGGCCUAGGCCUAAGUAGGUAUCUUGCACAAAAAAGGAAACAAAUAUUGCUCAUCUCCACAACUGAUCUACAACAUAAUUUCUUAAAAAGGCACUGAUGUCUGUAUGCUUUGGGAGGUCACUUCUACCUUUUUCACAGAAGCAGAGAAAAGAAUACAUUACUGCAUGUUCAAAACUGUGUGUGUGUGUGUGUGUGUGUGUGUGUGUGUGUAUGCACAAGUGCAAAUGUAGUACGACUGGCAGAAUAUACACAAAGAUGUUAGUAAUGGUUUUCUCUGGGCAGUAUGACUAAGAAUGACUUUCAUGUUCAAUUCUUUGCUAAUCUGUUUUCUAUGUAUCACCAACAAAUAUUUAUUACUUUUGUAAUAGAAAAACAUUUUAGAGAAACCUAUGCUAAGCCAAUAAAUUUAUUAUAAAAAUACUCUUUAUGCAAGUAUUCUAGAUUACAACUUUUCUACACUCUCUAAAAAUGGGACCUUUUGAAUGACUAAUAUAAAGAGUGACUAAAGGUACACAUCAUGGCUUACAGGGAAAAAUAAAAGAUCCAAUGUGAAAAGAAUACAGGCCAAACAGCAAUACAUCUUCAUUUUUUAAAUCCUAAUUUCUCCCUUUCUAUUUCUGUCUCUCCCCUUUCUACUCAAACUUACCAUGGAAAAAACAGGAACUCUUCAUUUCUACCCAAAUCCACCUAUCAGUAUCCAGCACCAACAUCCAUGUCAGGAGGCAUCUCAGAUCCCCUCCCUUUCCACAAUCCAUCACCUACCACUGUGGCUUCCACUUGCAAGUAUGCCACGUCCAUCUUGCCUCCUCUGCUACCUCUGUCACCUGGACUAAUGUGUGGCUUCUAACUGGUCUCCAUGCUUUCACUCUUGUCCCACCUAUUGUCCCAGUCCCCUCCCACACAGUUGUCAGUGAUCUUUUUUGUAAAGUAAACCCUAUCAAUGUGACUCCCAGCUUAAAUAUUUUUAAUGGUUUCAUUUAGUCUUAUAAUAAAAUGUAAAAGCUUUUAUGGGGCCUUCAAGGCCCUACAUGAUAUAGGACCUUCCCAAUCUCUUCUCGCACUGCUCUGCCUUUUCUUCACUAUGCUUUACCUACAACUAGCUGUUACCCCAACGUACCAAGUCCUUCCUGCUUCUGGGCAGCCCUUGAUGUUUCCUCUGCCCGGGAUGCCCUUAUCCUUCUUUACAUGGAAUGGUAGUUUAAAAGAUGUCCACAAUUUUCUGACAUUCCCUUCAAAUGACUCACUUCUAACAAGUAAGGCAGAAGAGAUAGGAUGUGUUAUUUCUAAGACUAAAUCAUAAAAGGCAAUACCUGUCAAUUAUAUAUCAAUUUUUUUAAUGGCAAUACAGGGCAAUUUUUCUUACAUCACUCACUUUAGGGUGGUGUUUUCCAACGUUUUUUCAUUAUUGCCCACCUAGGGACCUUCUGGGGAUUUUUUUCCUAAUAGCACCUCCAGCAUAUUUUAACACCACAGAUACUGUACAUCUGUUUAUGCACCACAGCUCUUUGGAAGACUAUAAACCAUUUUAACAGCUGCGAUUCUUUUGCCUUCUACCUCAAGAACCAGUUUUUACCUGGGAGGCAAUACUUCCCUCACUAAAAAUGAGUGCUCUAGGAAAAGCAAGCUGCCAGUGUUAUGGGGAAGCUCAAGAAGUCUUGCGGAGAGAUCCUUGUGGUGAUAAAGUGAGGUCACCCACCAACAGCCAGUGAGAAACACAGGCCUUCUGCUAACAGUGAUGUGUAGCAUAUCCUUCAGCACCAGCCAGGCCUUCAGAUGACCAUAGCCCCAAACAACAUUUUCAUUACAACCUAUGACAAACCCUGAGCUAGAAUUGGCCAGCCACCUGGUCCUUAAAAACUGAUAAUACAAAUUUACUCAAGCCACUAAGUUUAGGGUUAGUUUGUUACAUAGCAAUAGAGAACUAAUAUGUUUUGGUACCUGGAAGUACAGUGCUGCCAUACCAAAAACCUAAAAUAUGGGAGAGGCUUUAGAAUCAGGUAGGGGUGGAACCUGGUAGUUCUUUGAGGUGAAAGGCCUUAAAGAAACUAUAAGAGGAUAAUGCCUUUCAGGAGGCUGUGGGUAAGGGCUUAAAGGAAAGUAAGAAAAAUAUCAAAGAAACUGGAGGAAAGAAAAUCAUUAUGUACUGGCAAGAAAAUUAGCAACACUGUCACCUAUGGGAAAUGGAGAGUAAAAAAUGUGCCAAAUGAGGUAGGUGGUCAAACUAAGAUUUCCAGAUAAAGCACUGAUGGUACUUGCUGGCUUCCUGCUGCUUUUACUAAAAUACAAGAGAAAAAGGAUGUGAUUGUAAACUCCUUUUUUAAAACUUCACAAAUAUCCAACACUGUACCUCAGAAAAACCUAAUAAGGUUUCUGAGAAGCUUUAGGAAAUAGUCAACUCAGCAGUCUCAACUACAUCUCACACUCUUAAGAUAUUUUUGGGUGUAGCUUUUAUCUAAUGCACUGAACCUCAAUAAGAAUCACAGGAGACCCACAGAGCGUUUUGAAGAAUUCUGUUGGCAAAAUACCACCAAACUCUGCCUUUCCGACUGACAGAUGUUGGAUGCAUGGUUACAGAUAAUUUGUUCUUUAGCUCCAAAGUCUUCGAGAGGAAAUGUACUCAGAGGAGCUCUACUUAAGAAACUUAUAUCCAACAAGCUUCAGCUACACAAGGAUUUGAAUUACAUGACAAGAUUCUGAAUUUUGAGCUGAUGCUAUAAUGGGAUAGACUUUUAGAAGUUACAUGUGGGAAACAGAAAAAAUUGUGACCAGAGAGAAGUGUGGUGGUUUAAAAUAUGCCUCUAAAUUAUGUGACACCUUCAAAAGUAGGAUCCUAAACCACUGCCUCUUGACUGUGGACUGGACUUAAUGACUUGCUUCUAAUGAAUAGAAUAAAGGAGAUGUGAUGGUGUGUAUAGUUACCAUGACUAGGUCAUAAAAGACACUGUGGCUUCUUUGUCCUCUCUCAUGGAUUGCUUGCUCAGAGGAAAGCCAGUCACCAGGCCAUAAGGACAGUCCAGCAGCCCAUGGAGAGGGUCAUGUGGCAAAGAAGCCUUGUGUCAACAUACACAUGAGUGAGAUUUCCUGGAAGUCCAGCCCAGUCAAGCCUUCAGCUGAUUGCAGCCCCAGCCCACAUCUUGAGAGGAAUCUGAUAGGACACCCUCAGCCAGAACCAUCUAGCUAAGCCUCUCCCAGGUUCCUGACUCUAGAAACUGGUUUUUAAUAUGAACUUCCUGUUGAAAGCAAAUGCAGCCCUGAGGAUUUGGCUACUGAAUUUAACAACUGGGAGCAAAUCAAGUACUUCAGGGUUGAUUUUUAUGAAGCCAUGGAUGACUACCCAUCUGCCAUAGAAGUACAAACCAAUUUUGAGGUUCCAUAUUACAACAGAGGGAUUGGGGUUUUUU